UUCUUGAACCUUGAGCUUACUACAUUAUAUAUGGGUGCCCAUUGCCACUUGUGCCAAUUUCACUACUGUCAAACUAACAAAGUUUUAAAAUCCACAAAUUUAUACAACCAUGUAGGCUUACAAAUGAGAAUUCUUUCAGAGCAUCCAUGAUAUGUGGCUCAGCAUAGAAAGAGCAUGUCUCUACAACGACAGCUGCUACAGAGAUCCAAAGUGCAAAAAAUAUGUCAUUCUUUCUGCCUGAAACGCAAAUAACAACAUUUUACUCGAUAAACUCCUAAACUCUUCUCCUCCUCUCCUUCUUCUUCUGCCUGAAACGCAAAUAACAACAUUUUACUCGAUAAAGCGACUUGGUUUGAUGACAGUGAACGCACCCAAGUCAGAGAAAAAGGUACCUUCUUCUUCUUCUUCUACAUUGGUUUGGUCAGAAUCCUCACUGCUGCGGAAAGCGAUUAACCUCCGCCGGCGACUUUCCUUUCCCGUUAGGGUUUUGAUAGAAAUGUUAAAACUUCAUCGACUGGUUCCGAUUGUCUUGAUGGAAUGGAAAAAGACCGAUUAGGGGUGAGGCACGUUUGUAACUGGAGACGAGAGCAACUUCAACGGAGGAACAAUCGACAUGGCGGCCUUGGAAUUUCGACCGGACCUGCCCAAAUUUAUGUUGGUCGAUUCGUGUAGGCUGAGU
rnacentral:lncRNA from 1 species